GAUGAACGCUGGCGGCGUGCCUAAUACAUGCAAGUCGAGCGGUAAGGCCCUUCGGGGUACACGAGCGGCGGACGGGUGAGUAACGCGUAAGAACAUACCCCAAACUGAGGGAUAACUGCUCGAAAGAGUAGCUAAUACCGCAUGUGCUCUUCGGAGUAAAGCUUCGGCGGUUUGGGAAUGGCUUGCGUCCGAUUAGCUAGUUGGUAAGGUAAUGGCUUACCAAGGCGACGAUCGGUAGCUGUUCUGAGAGGAUGAUCAGCCACACUGGAACUGAGACACGGUCCAGACUCCUACGGGAGGCAGCAGUAGGGAAUUUUCCACAAUGGGGGCAACCCUGAUGGAGCAACGCCGCGUGCAGGAUGAAUGCCUUCGGGUUGUAAACUGCUUUUAUUAGUGACGAUUAUGACGGUAACUAAUGAAUAAGGACCUGCUAACUACGUGCCAGCCGCCGCGGUAA
rnacentral:rRNA from 1 species